UACGAAGGGGGCUAGCGUUGUUCGGAUUUACUGGGCGUAAAGCGCACGUAGGCGGAUCGUUAAGUCGAGGGUGAAAUCCUGGGGCUCAACUCCAGAACUGCCUUCGAUACUGGCGAUCUCGAGUCCGGAAGAGGUGAGUGGAACUCCUAGUGUAGAGGUGGAAUUCGUAGAUAUUAGGAAGAACACCAGUGGCGAAGGCGGCUCACUGGUCCGGUACUGACGCUGAGGUGCGAAAGCGUGGGGAGCAAACAGG
rnacentral:rRNA from 1 species